UACGGGGGGGGCAAGCGUUGUUCGGAAUUACUGGGCGUAAAGGGCUCGUAGGUGGCCAACUAAGUCAGACGUGAAAUCCCUCGGCUUAACCGGGGAACUGCGUCUGAUACUGGAUGGCUUGAGUGUGGGAGAGGGAUGCGGAAUUCCAGGUGUAGCGGUGAAAUGCGUAGAUAUCUGGAGGAACACCGGUGGCGAAGGCGGGUUGCUGGGCCGACACUGACGCUGAUGCGCGAAAGCCAGGGGAGCGAACGGG
rnacentral:rRNA from 1 species